AUUGAACGCUGGCGGCAGGCUUAACACAUGCAAGUCGAGCGGAGAUGAGGUGCUUGCACCUUAUCUUAGCGGCGGACGGGUGAGUAAUGCUUAGGAAUCUGCCUAUUAGUGGGGGACAACAUUCCGAAAGGAAUGCUAAUACCGCAUACGUCCUACGGGAGAAAGCAGGGGAUCUUCGGACCUUGCGCUAAUAGAUGAGCCUAAGUCGGAUUAGCUAGUUGGUGGGGUAAAGGCCUACCAAGGCGACGAUCUGUAGCGGGUCUGAGAGGAUGGUCAGCCACACUGGGACUGCGACACGGCCCAGACGCCUACGGGAGGCAGAAGUGGGGAAUAUUGGACAAUGGGGGGAACCCUGAUCCAGCCAUGCCGCGUGUGUGAAGAAGGCCUUAUGGUUGUAAAGCACUUGAAGCGAGGAGGAGGCUACUGAGACUAAUACUCUUGGAUAGUGGACGUUACUCGCAGAAUAAGCACCGGCUAACUCUGUGCCAGCCGCCGCCGUAA
rnacentral:rRNA from 1 species